CAGGAAGUGAUGCUGUCCAGGUGAUUAGUGUAAUCGCAAAAUUCUUCAAGGAGAAACCAGCCCAACUAUUUUGUCAAAAUGAGCUGCUGCAUCCAGAGAGUCCUGAUCUUGACCUGCCAAGCACCCCAUGCAUCUUUAUAAUGGGUGAACAGCUUUUUAAAGUUGCUGUUGACCAAAUGAUUGUGAAUGACCACAUCAAGUCACCCAUCGCUGCCCUAAGCUACGCCUUCUCCAUGUUUUAUGUCUUGAACAUAAAAUAUCCAAAAGACAUGUCCCUGACACUGGAAUUUAUACAAAGAGUCUUUCUGGGCUUAAACCCCAAACGAGGGUCAAAGGCUGAAAUGAAGGGGAAGAAGCAUCAUGACAUUCCACCCCGACUGCUCAAGUUUGUAAAUGAACUGUAUGACUUUGACAGUCCAUGGAAAAUUUGAUU